UUACAUAGCAAAUCAGUAAUUAGCUAGGGUUAAUCCAUUCCAUCAGACAGGGGAGUAUGGUGUGUUUUCUUUGUUAAUUACCUACUCCACUGUCUCAUAACUGGGAGUCUCACAAUUGGGAGCUGUCACAAAUGGGAGUAGGCCCACCUGCAUUGCUG